ensembl:lncRNA
CCAGAUGCGUGUGCAGCACUUCUUCUCGCCUGCCUGCAUUGUCGCUUUCACGAAUUCAUGCUUCUGCUAUUGGAUGCGUGUGAGCUGGCCGUGGGUCGCUGCUUUCCCUCGUACAAAUACAUCACGGCCGCCAGCGACCAGCAGGGAAACGACUGCUGCAACUACAACCUGGAGAUGGAUUGCAACUGCUGCGGCUCCUGUCAGGACGCAGGAGAACUCAUCGAGCUGGCCAUGGAGAUGUCAGAGGUCUGCUAUCGCUGAGAGCCUCCUCACCUGUGGGCCCUGCAAGUACAAUGGAAAAAAACAUGAACGAGGGAGACGUGCACCACGCCGGGGACGUGGGAGCAUGCUUUCAAAAAGACACCUCCGACCAUUCAAGUGAUCACAGCAUGUAAUCUACAACCAAGGGAACUUAUCAGAUGGUAAAAUGUGAAUGGAAAUGAAUUAUAUUAUGCAUCAAAACGG